UACAGAGGUCUCAACCGUUGUUCGGAUUCAUUGGGCGUAAAGGGUGCGUAGGCGGUCGCGCAAGUCGGAUGUGAAAUCUUGGGGCUCAACCCCGAAACUGCAUUCGAUACUGCGUGGCUCGAGUACUGGAGGGGAGACUGGAAUUUACGGUGUAGCAGUGAAAUGCGUAGAUAUCGUAAGGAAGACCAGUGGCGAAGGCGAGUCUCUGGACAGUUACUGACGCUGAGGCACGAAGGCCAGGGGAGCAAACGGGG
rnacentral:rRNA from 1 species